rnacentral:rRNA from 1 species
UGGAAGUUAAAAAUAACAAGGUUUCCGUAGGUGAACCUGCGGAAGGAUCAUUACCGAGUGAGGGCCCUCUGGGUCCAACCUCCCACCCGUGUCUAUCGUACCUUGUUGCUUCGGCGGGCCCGCCGUUUCGACGGCCGCCGGGGAGGCCUUGCGCCCCCGGGCCCGCGCCCGCCGAAGACCCCAACAUGAACGCUGUUCUGAAAGUAUGCAGUCUGAGUUGAUUAUCGUAAUCAGUUAAAACUUUCAACAACGGAUCUCUUGGUUCCGGCAUCGAUGAAGAACGCAGCGAAAUGCGAUAAGUAAUGUGAAUUGCAGAAUUCAGUGAAUCAUCGAGUCUUUGAACGCACAUUGCGCCCCCUGGUAUUCCGGGGGGCAUGCCUGUCCGAGCGUCAUUGCUGCCCUCAAGCACGGCUUGUGUGUUGGGCCCCCGUCCCCCUCUCCCGGGGGACGGGCCCGAAAGGCAGCGGCGGCACCGCGUCCGGUCCUCGAGCGUAUGGGGCUUUGUCACCUGCUCUGUAGGCCCGGCCGGCGCCAGCCGACACCCAACUUUAUUUUUCUAAGGUGACCUCGGAUCAGGUAGGAAUCCCCA